UGACCCCUCAACCAAAACAGAAGAGUAUGAAACCCUCCCUCGAACCGCGCCCAGAUCUGCCUCCACUACCGAAGGAGAGGGGGCGCCUAGAUCCCUUGUCUGAAUAUCAGUCCCGCCAAGCGAUUCCGAUUCAGCCCGAGCCUUUUCUGUUGCCACCGUGUCGCCUUCAGUCGAGGGAGUGUCGCCGUCGCCUUCGUUAUCGCCUCUCAUAUCUUUCCUUUUUGAAAUCAUAAGUAUCAUAUUAUUGGGUUCUUAGUUGUAAAUUGUAGUCAUAGCUGGAUCUGAGAUUUUAUGGACUAUAAACAACAUCUUUUAAGAAUUUUAAUAUAAUUUUUUUUAGAAUUUUGAUGGUCCAUUUCUAUGUAUAUAACUUUGAAAAUUUUAUUAUCAAUGUUUUAUAGGGUUAUGCUCAAAUCCGAAUCUAGUUGUAGUUUUUAAAUAGAUAUUCUUGAGAAAUAAAUUAAGGCUGGUAAAAAAUAAAAAAUAAAUUAAGGCUGAGCACAAGUAGAAUAUUUGCUAUUUUAGCAAUAUUUGAUACUUAAUUUUCUUUUUACGAGUAAUGAAAAUUUUGACUUAUACUUGACUUGUUAAAAAUGAAUACUUGUUAUUUCGAGUACUUACUGAAAAAUGAGUUACUUAUCCCGUUUUAUUACUUGCUAUAUAUGAAUACUUGUGAGUUACAUAUGAGUUACUUGCAUUUAAUUUCUAGUAUUUAAAAAUUAUUUGCUAAAUAAUGCUCUACUAAAAAUGAACAUAAGAGUUUAUUUUGUUUAUAUAGUAAGAAAUAACAUAAGAGUUAUAAACGAAAUAUUUGUGCAUAUUAUAAAGGAGAAGAACGGAAAAAACGGAAUCGUUCUAUUGUAGCAUUAUUUUCUUCUCACAAUAACAAAAAAAUGUAUUCUUUGAGCAACUAACAGAUAAUAUCAAGUAGAACAGUUAACUUUUUCAUACUUGUUACUUGUUUUGUACUUUCAAAUAUCUAAAUUUUAUUUUAUUUGAUAUCCAACUUGACAACGACGAGUGCGUGAAAAAUCGAGAUUAAUAUAUGACGAGUAUAAGAUGAAUAACGAGUAUUUGUGUCCACCACUCCUUGAAAUUAUAUAUGUAUAUACAUAUAUCUGUUCUCUUCACCUGACCUCACUGCUUAAUGUUUAGAUCUGACAGUUUUCUAUUAGGUGUUGCUGAAGUUAAUUGUUUUCAAAUUGGUUAACUAGAUUAAGUGAAAUUGUCAGGGGUUCAAGCAUCUCUCUUUUUUUUAUACUUUUGGUUCAUUUAUAGUACAUUAUAUGGUUAAACUUGUCUAUGAAAAAGAGAAGUAUAAUUAAGAUUGAUAACUCUGAUUCAGGUCGAUCAGUUAUUGACAUUAUUGUUGUCGUUGUGGAUGUACUGUAGGACGCAAUUUUAUAUCAAACUUUACAACAAUUGGACAUACAUAAACAUAAGUAUGUAAUGAAAUAUUGAAAAUACGAAUAAGGCCAGACAUACAUAAACAUAUUGCCCGAAAAAAUAAUUAAAAAGAAAAAAAAAUAUCAGAGCCAGGUUUCGAUCCUGGGACCUGUGGGUUAUGGGCCCACCACGCUUCCGCUGCGCCACUCUGAUUUGUUGUACUUCGAUGAAAUGUUAACCUUACUAAACGAGAAUACAUUCUUCCACAAAAGAUGACAACAUUGCACUUAUUUUUCACUCAUUUUUGAAUAAAUAAAUCUGUUCAAUUUGGUUGAAUAAGACGGGAAAAUGUAGUAUUUUAAAUAGAUUUCUCUACUUUUUCUUUUCAUAAUUUUCUGUCUGUUCUUUUAACUUAUGUAUUUUUGAAUCAUAUUAUAUAUUUUCACCAUUUUUUUAUAAUUUUGUUUUAUUUUAUUUUUAUAACUUUUUCUUUUCAAUCUAUAUUUUGAUAUGUAUUACUAUUUGAUUGUGGUUUUUCAAGUUGUUUCUUAUUAUUUGUAGAGUUUGAGUUCGGUGACUAAAAAUAGGAAAAUAAAACUCUGAAUUACACAUUUUUGUUACUAUAAGUUUGGUGAAAAGUGUAAAAUAUAGUAAACAGAUUUUUCUGGUUUUUGUUCUUCAUAAUUUUCUUUACCUAUUAUAAAUUGAUCUUUAUGUAUUUUUAGAUUAUAUUUUCACUAGAUUUUAUUGUUUGGUUUAGACUUUUAAUUACUAUUUUGAUUAUGCAUUAAAUCUUGGUUGUGGUUUUGGAUCAUUUGCAUGUUAGUUUCUCUAAACUUUAGUUUAAUGAUUCAAAAAGAAAAACAAUAUGUGAGACUCACUUUCGUUAAGGGCUGUUUUAGGAACAUGAAAAAUCAAUAUCAUAGAUGAAUUUGUCUAUUUUUGUUUUUAUUAAUUUUUUAUAGCUAUUAUUUUAGAUAUUUUGAAUGAUAUUAUGUAGUUUUACUUUCAAGCUUGAUGACAAAUUUUGGUGGGAAUUAAAAAUGAGAUUUUGAUUAAAGGAGAUGGAUUAUUUAAAAAAAAAAGUUAAUAUUUGAUAUAAAUAAGAAGUAGAUAAAAUUUAGGGAUAAAUUAUCAAUUUAAAAAUUAAUGAUGAUGUGUCAAAUAUCUAAAGAUGUGGAAACUUAAGGAAAGAGCAAAAUCUAAUUUAUAUAUAUUUUUAUAUAUAUAAAGAUAUAAAGCAUAGUAUGGAUAGAACAAAAAAACAAACAGUUCAAAAUUAUCAUUUUAAUAAAAUAUCAAGAUAUAUAUAUAUAUGUAUUCAAUCUUAAAGUGCAUAUUUUUUUAAUAAUAUUAGAUCCGGUCUAAGAAUCUAUCUACUUUUUUUUUGACAACACUAUCUAGUGUAUUUAAGCAAAUUAAAAGGAAUCUAUCUAGUAUAUGGACUAAUGAAAGAUAUGAUUAUCAAGAUAAAAAGGUGCUUUUUAAAAAGGAAAAAGAAGAAGAAGAAGAUAAGAACGUGUUUGAUCUUUACUCAAACGGGUUUGUUCUUACUCAAACGUGUUUGACCUUACUCAAUAACAAAUUUAAGAAUAUAUAUACUGACUGAACCCUUCAAAUAUUACAAAAUGCAAACCCACAUUUCUCAAUAUACAAACAUUCAUAAAGACAAAAUCGAUAUUAAAAAAAGUAUUGAUCAAAUGGGAACAUUCACAACCUUGAGUGGCAAAUUAAAAGACAAAGCCUCGCACAUGAAACUCAACGUCGUUCAUAUGUGUAGUUCCGUGAACACCAAAACCAUUGACGAAGCUAUCUUGAAAGCCACGAGUCAUACCUCGAACAAAUCACCUUCCGAAAAAUACGUCAAAUUUCUCCAAUCAACCAUGGCAACGGGUUACUCUCCUCAGACCAUCAGUGGGAUUAUGCAGAGGCUGUGUGUGACGACGAACGUGUGCGUGGCUUCUAAAUGCCUCAUUCUUAUCCAUAACAUGAUUAAAUCUGAAAAGGGUUAUGAAGGAGAAGGUGGUCAUCGUGGCACUAAUAGUCAUCGUAAUUUGAUUUAUAACCAAGGAGAGAGUAAUCUUAAGUUGGAUGAUCUUAAUGUGGAUUCAUCUCGUUUUACUAUAGAGUUGGUUCCAUGGGUUCGAUGGUACAAAAAUUAUCUUAAUAUUUAUUUAUGCAUUGCGGAGGUUUUAGGCGUUACUCCAAACAUAAAAGAAAAAUUUGAAGAAAAGCGUUUGGAGACUCAACGAGUCUCGUCUUACACAACCGAUUGCAUUUUCAAACAAGUCGAUUUUUUGGUGAAUCUAUUCGAACAGAUAAAUGCCAGGCCAGAAACCCCGCUGGAGAAACCGAACAUAAUUAUUAUUAGGAUGAUAGGACUAAUGGAACAAGAUUAUGUAUCGGUGAUGAGAUUGAUCAAGAUAAGGUUUGAAGAAUUGGACAAGAGAACAGCUGAUCCGGCCGAGCUGAUUCCUGUUUUGGUGAGGCUUGAAAAGUGUAGGGAGUCUUUGAGCGAGUUUUGUUGGCGAUGCGAACCUUUGGAUAAGGAGUUUUGGGGUUUGGUAUUGAAAUUAAAAGAUAACUAACGUUAGAAGACUAGAAACGAUGGAUAAAUAACCUGGCCAACUUCGAUUAAUAAGCCCCUUUAUUGUUGUUGUUAUAGCUUAUCCCCAUAAAGCUGGUCGUUAUUUAUUAUUAUACAAGUCUUAUGUAUAUGAGAUGUAUACAUGCUAUGAAUGAGUAUAUAAUAGAAUCGUUAUACCAGUAACGCCUAUUUUCAAGGUUCUUUCUUUUCUUCCUCUCUAAACUCUCUCUUUCUAACCUACUUUGUAAGUGUUCGUUGCCGAAUCUUCGAACCAGAGAAUUAUCAUGCAACUUUUUUUUGGUCUAAAUUAUCAUGCAACUUGAAAUGGAUUCAGGUUGGAAACGGCGUGGUUUGCCUUAUGAGAGGCCAUCAAGAGCCGCACUGCUAUUAUGGAUAUUUUUUUUCCAGCGGACACAGUUUCAUAGCUCAAGAACCAUCAUCCUCGUAGAAGAAGCCACGAAGAUCGGAAGCUGUUAAAUAAAAUCCACUGGUUCAAGAUCCACUGGUUCAAAAAAAAAAAAAAACCACUGGUUCAAGAUUUCUUAUACAACAUUUCAUUGCCAACGUACACUGAUUUGACCGGUUUGUUAAACAUACACACAACAUUUCAAUACCAACAACGAUAAUUCAUAUAUAAAAAGCUUAUGAUGGUAUUCAAAUGUUGUAUAAAAAAUCUAGAACCGGUGGUAUAACCAAUACAUCAUAUGCAUUUGUUAUUAACUGGGUCACGUAAUAAAUUGAUUUUAUAAAAUCUAUGGAAUUUUUUUUAUGUGAGGGACUGUAAAAUUAGGAGCAUGAAGUGAAAGUUUCAUUAAGCUUGGCCCAAGGCCAAUCCUGCAUGAACCACGAGUCAUUUCAUGCAAGAAUCAAUGCUCACUUGCUAAUAAGAAGAGGAAAACAAAGAAACGGAAGCAAUCAGCUACAACCAAAUUUUUUUUUAAAAAAAUUAACAUUUAUUAUUUCUUUCAUUAAUUCUGAAAAAUUAAAAUUAAUAAAAAAAUUAUAUUAUAGCCUUUCUUUUUAAAAUAUUCUAAAAUUUAAUAUUUUAUAUAUUAAAAUACUUCAAUAAUAUUUAAUUUUAAAUAAUUAAUUUAAUUUUUGACAUUGAUAAAAAAGUAUGGAUUCAUUAUGGGAAACAACUGCUUUAAAGAUGGUGUCAGGAUAAGUGUUUUGUUGAAGGUGGUGGAGGCAAGCUUGUUGAGAAAUGUGGCUUCGGUCUCUCUCUCUCCCUCUUGCAUUUUUGAUGGUCAUCUAUAGUCUUUACUCGGUUAAGGCUCUUCUGUUUUCGGUCUAGUUUCUUUUAAAUUUUUUGUUCAGCAAUGGUUUUUGUGGACGGGGUGGUCUUCUUUGGUGCUUUGCUUCGAGAAGCUUGUCGAUAAACAGAUUUUAUUCUCCUCAAUCUGUUUUGGUUUCAGAUGAGACCCGUAUGUUUGGGUCUGGAUAGUGGUUUAUUUCCGACUUAUCUAAAUUGGAAUUUUUUGUUAACUAUAAUAUUUUUUAAAAAUAACUCAAAAUAUUAUAAUGUUAAGGAUUUUUAAAUAAGAAAAAAUAGUAAUCUUUAUCUAUUUUUUAUAACCAGAUUUGUUUCCAUUUUUUAAAAAUAUUAAUUAAAUUGUUGAUUACAUCAUCAUAUAAUAUCUAUUCUAUUAGAUAUGAUCAACUAUCUCCGGAAUAUGCAAACAUUAUAAACAGCUUCUCAAACAGUGAUUCCAUGAUGUAGCUUUCUCCAUAAUAUUUGGACCGACGGACUAUAUCACAAUCAAACCCUAAAUGAUGUAAAAGCCUUUAAAAUUUAAACCUUAACCAUUACACCACCAUGCUUCCACAAUUUGUUUUCAUUAUGAAAGGGAGAAAAUCAUAACCACUUAUGAAAUAUUUUUGAAUAUUUUAAAUAUGUAAAUGAAUAUUUAUUAUAAAACUUAUUUUCUAAAUAAUUCUUUUGUUUAGUUUUUCCAAAUUAAACAUAGACCCAAACAUUAUAUAUACAUCUAUAAAACGAACCAUUAUUGUAUUCGCUCUCUAGGUUAUUAAUAUUCGACUUGUCCUGCUCUCUGAUGACAGGUUUGGGGGAUAUGGAGGAGGAGAUUGGGAACGGUGCAUCGCUGUUUAAUGAUCAUGGAAGAGAUGAUUCGGACUUCCAAGCUGAUGGUCUGGAUCCGCCUAUAUUAUAUAGGUCAGAAUGGGGAGAUGAUCCUAACUAUGAUAUCCGUCUCUGUGGUAGGAUUGGACUCCAGUGCUACAAUCUUCAGAAGGUUAAUUCAUCGCUAUUCACUGUCUCUCUAUGAUGACAACCUUCUUUUCUGAGUUUAUUUUUUUGGUUUUGACAGGGAACAAACUUUAAAUUUAAAAGCUGGGAGAUUUGUAGGGAUCAGAUGACUUCAUCCGACGACUCCUUCAUAACUUUGGAGGCAACUGAUCCGGCCACUGGCUCGGUCUUGUCUUUUCAGACGCUGUUAAGCGAUUUUGGACCUCGCCGUUCAUUGGGUGUCAGACUUUUGUGGAUCAACUUAGCCUCCAGAAUUGAACCUAUACGUAAGAAUUUAUUAAGGACUAUAAUUAACUGUUUAUGGAUAGCUCUCUUUUAAAAGGGUAUUUACUAACUGUUUUUAGAGACAUCAGGUAACGAGCGUCUGGAUGAUAAUUGGGACAAGAACAAGCUACAUGAUUUCUACAAAGGUCCAAUGCCCAAAUGGUUUUCUGAUGAGGCCUUGGAAAGUAACAGUAGAAAAUAUUACGUGGUAAUAAUAACAUCAGAUCAUUCAUGGAGUUUUAACUUUUAUAUUGUGA